rnacentral:lncRNA from 1 species
CAGCUAUAACGAAUCAACAGAUAUCCCCUACAAAAGUAUCCGCAAUUUGAUUUACUAAUGAGAGUUGAAACGAGAAGCCGACCAACACAGGUCCGCUAAAAAGACUCAUAUAAAUAAGUUAUAUUUUUUUAGGCCAUAUAAAGAUCGUCAACGAGGCAAAAUAGACCAUGCAAGAUUGUGUCGCCGAGUUCAUUAGAUUCUCAGCUCACUGCUUGCCGCUCACAUGGAUCGGCUGUCACCAUCACCACCUCUAGCGCUGCUGUCGAUUUAUUUAGGCAAGCUAGACACACAAAAGAAGUACAAACUAAAUAAAUUAAAUAGGUCAUCUAUACUUAUUUGUAUUAUUUUGUUGUUUGCAAGUGAUUGAGUGUAGUAAAAAGAAAGUGAGGUUCUCUUGUUUUUUACAUAAUUUGUGGACUACUGAACAAAAAGGCCAACUUCAUUAGCAAUACCAAAAUAAAUUUUAGAAUAUAUAUAUUUGCUCAGUGAUUAAAAGAAAAUCGUCAUACAUAUUAUUGGAUACUAAUUGUAAACAUCAAUGAUGCAUUGCAAAUUUGUCAUACAUAAUUUUUUUAAUGGAUUGCAAUAGAUAAUUAAUACAAUUUAAUUGCAGUAGAAAAUAUGUUUUGAUUUUUUUUUCUUGUUUUUUUUGUUUUUAUACUUUUGAAGUAUUCUUCGUUUCAAAGAAAUAUAUAUAUAAAAUAUUAAUUAGGAAGAUAUAUUUUCUAUCGCACGGGUGGAAUUUCUAGUUAGAAUUCAAAUAUAUAUGAAGUAUGAUUACUUAGACCUUGCAAGUAAAUGAAACCAAAGAUCUAAAUUUUAAUAUGCUAUUUCAAUUACUCGCUUUUAAAAGGGCUAACAUAUGUAGCAUACUGACACGAGAAUGCAGACAUUGAUAAACGGGAAACGGACAAGGGAAAUCCCUGUGUCUUAAAAAAAUAGAUAAAAGAAUAUGAAACAUGUAAAUAUCAAAAAAAAAAAAAAAAGUUGAAGGGUAUUUCGAUAAUUUGUGGAUAUGUAUCCACAAAUGAUAUACAAUCCACAAGUUAAUCUUAUUAUCAGUCCACAAAUUAUAUAUAGGACAUAUUUAAAAAAAAUGAAUGGUACACAAUGCUAUUUGAGAUAAAUUCCGGAUCUUACUUGGUGGAAACUUAUUUCUAAUUUUUCAAGAUUACUAGAAAUAUCACCAAAACUUUUAAGUAUUUAUGGAAACAAACCAUUAACAUUUCAGAUAGGUGUUAUAAUGUUUCAGUUUCUAAAACAUAUAGCAAGCACGGAAACGCGUAUGUUUAGAAUUUUUCAUGCAUCCAAGGGGGUAAUAGAUUUUCAAUAUUUACGUCGUUUAUAUCUCAUAGUUUAAUGAAUGGUAUUAAAUAUUACCAUUCAAAUAACUAAAUUGUGUACAAGGGUGCAAUCUAAUUGAGACAAGACAAAUUCACAUAGUACAAGUUUGUUCUAAAUGUGUUUGAACUUCUAAAAUUACAUUUGAGUUUGAUUCCAUUAGUAAUUAGUUUAACUUUUACGUGUUUUAAUCAUUACAAGAUGACAUUUUAAUUUUUAAAUAACAAGUUAUAGUUUAUUUUUUUCCUCUAAUAUUAGUUGGAGGGGUAAGUGUGUAUCUUAAAUAAGAUUUUAUUUUAUCCUUAGCUUCAUAAUCUACUUAAUUAAUAAAUGAUGAAGGUGCAACAACCAUAUAUCAUAUACAUAUAAAGAAUGAGAAAAAUAUAAUCAUGUAUGGAAGUAAAAAAAGAAAAUACACUUAUUAGAAGAAACAAAAUACUCAUGAACAAGUCAUAGGAUUUUCCCUGUCGAUGUAUAUUCUGAAAAUAUAAUGAAAUAUUUAUGUGAGAUUUUCUCCCCUACGUCUUUUCACAAGUCAUUGCCAAAAACUAAGACGCAUAAUGGAGACAGUGCGUCAUUUGUAUGAAUAGAAUAGAUGAAAAAAUCACCAGUGCAUUCACAUUCAUAUAGUAAGUUGCAUACAAACUUUCCUACCAAUUAUAUUUUGAGAAUCGUUUUUUUCUCAUUGCAUGAAAAAUUAAGAAGCAUUGAUACUCUUCAUUAUCAUAAUAUUUUGACUAAUUAAUAUUUGAUUAAACCCAAGUGCGCCUUCUUUCAAAGGGGAUAUGGGCUUGAGCUUAUCAUUAGUAUGACUCCUAUAUCUUAUAGCUAUUUGGGCUAGACAUAUCACAUACCAUUUUAUUAAACCUUCAUUGAUGUUUCUGUAAUUCAUAUGAAAUUGUCAUCAAAAGGUGGAAAUAAGUUGUAAUAUUUUUAUUCAUGCAAUUUGAAUUUCAUAUUGCAAACUUUUCUCGGUAUACUUAAUAUUGCACCCAAAUGAUAUUUUGAUAAUUCCAAAAUUAUCCUUAAUUGUCCAAUACAUUAUCUCUCCUCCUUUUCCUACUCCUCUUCUUCUUGUACGUACAUUUUUUUUUUCUCUCUCUCUCUCUCUCUCUCCUCAUUUUUCCUCAAUUUCUUCCUUUUUCUCUCUCCUUCUUUUUCCCCCUCUUUUUCUUUUCACGUACACACACACACACAUACUCUCUCUCUCACUCCUUUUUCCUCACCUUCUUCUUCUCUACAGAAAUCUCUCUCUCUCUCUCGCUCUCUCUCUCUCUCUCUCUCUCUCUCUUUUUCCUCCUCUUCUUCUUCUUUGUACAAAUGGAAAAAGUCGUCACUCAUAUCAUCAACGGGAUUGAAGCCGUAUACACAUUAAUAUCUUUUUUCUAUUUUUAUUUUUUCUUACAAUAAAUCGCGUUAGAAAUUAAGAGAGAAAAAAACAACACCCAAUUUGUAUUGAGAUUAAUUUCUGCAAAUAUGUCAUGAGUGUGAGUAGAUCUAUCAGAAUUUUCUGUUGAUUUUGACAAGAUUACAGUUUGUUGGGAACAAAGUAUGAAUUUCCAGAUUCUUCAUCUUCUCUCUUCAAUAUGGUUAUUUUCCUCUCUUUUCUGGUUGUUGUAUUUUAAUGGAGUUCUUCAGUAAAAUCGUUAAUGGAGGAUUUCAGUUCUUGAAACUGGGAGACUAGGAGAUCGAACUCCCACUUGGUUGACAAAGUGUGGUGUGGCGGCGGUGUGGUGACGAUGGGGAGGUAGAUUUAGGAUUUUUUGGUGGAUCGGGCGGAUAACGACAUGGGUAGAGAAAUUCGUGCAGGCUGGAACCUUAAUCAACUACGUAGGUUUUCAAUAAUCGAUUAAGCUAAUCGACUAUGCUCUGGUAGUCGAUUAAGGUCGAUCAACUCCAUUUUUUUUUUUAAAUUUUCGUUUAUUGAUUCCAAUUGUAUAAAUCAAUUACAAUGUUUGUAUAUUUUUUGUUUUUGUAAAAUAUAGUUGAUUUUUUAUUAUUUUGUAGUAGUGAUUUGUUAUUUUUAAUAGUCAGAUUCUUAAUCGACUAUGCUUAUAUCUCAUAGCCGAUUAAUAUACCUGAUAGCAAAAAAAUGUUAAAAAACGAAAAAAAAACAAUUUAUUUAUUUUUAAAUAAAUUAAAAAAUAAAAAAAAAACGGUUGAUGAGAUGGCAUGUGCAUUAUUGGUUAUAGUGUUGAUGACGUGAUAUGAGCAUAAUUGGUAAAAUGGGUGGCUGAAAUUUGGAAGGAAUUUUUCUCAAAUGGUGCAAAAUAGUUUGGGCCUCUCCCUAUGAAGAAAAGUAUUGAGGGGGUUAUAUCAAAGAACCCCAUUUAUUAUAUAAAAAAUACAAAUUUGUAUCACGACGCAUAAUUAAUAAUGUAAAGUAAUUUUUCAUAGAAACAUUGUUUCAUAACACAAUCAAUGGCACAUUUAUGUCUUUUCCCUCUCGAUCUAUAUACAUAUUUGUAUCCCUUUUCGGUAACAAGUUAAAUGCACAUAUUUUUUUCACUGAGAAAUAUUGAGUUGGGGAGUAUAAUAUUAGGUCAAACAUUCAAUUAUCUUAGUGUUCGAAUAUUGUAUCUUCUUGUACAUGGAGGAUAUAGAAAAAGAAAAAAAAAAUCGAAAAAUUAAACGGAAAGGAACACAUUAAAUCUCUCAUUAUAAAUGCGUUAACGUCAUCCUCAUCCGCUCACCUAAAAAUUAGGUUGCAUUUACUUUCUUCGCCCUUUAAAUAGGACCGCAAUGCAUAAGCAAAAUCACAAAACUCAAUCACAGUUUCCUGCGAUACUUCAUAUUUUGAGUGGCGAAACCAAUAUAAAACUAUAGGGGGCCAUGACCCCACCACUCCCCAAUAAUCUAUGAUCCGAUACUACAAAAAAUAACCUCUCAACAUUUAUUUAUUCUUAUCGGCCCCUUCUCGAAAAUAUUUGUGUAUAAUUGACCAUUUGAAUACAAUGUCCAUGUUACGCAGCUAUAACGAAUCAAAAGAUAUCCCCUGCAAAAGUAUCCGCAAUUUGAAUUACUAACGAGAGUUGAAACGAGAAGCCGACCGACACAGGUCCGCUAAAAAAGAAUCUUAUAAAUAAGUUAUAUUUUUCUAGGCCAUACAAAGAUCGUCAACGAGGCAAAAUAGACCAUGCAAGAUUGUGUCGCCGAGUUCAUUAGAUUCUCCGCUCACUGCUUGCCGCUAACAUGGAUCGGCUGUCACCAUCACCACCUCCGGCG